rnacentral:lncRNA from 1 species
CCAAUUCCUUUCCACAAAGGUGCCAGGUCUCCUUUAUACCUCAAGCAGAUCUCAUCUCCUUGCAUAAGACGCAUAUCUGAAUCAGUCUUUGGCAGAGUGAAAUAAGCAAUUCUUUUCUUGUUCAAGCCCAGGUCCCAUCUGACUGUGAUGUUAUCUUGGGUCUGAGACUCCUUAAGCUUCUUGUCAUAGUCUGCCUCGAGCUUGACUAGAGGACCAAAUAUAUUUUGGUACUGAUAAGCAUCUUCGUAUCUAAGCAGGACAUGCUGUGGUUCUUCAUCAACACCAGGCUUUUCUAAGUCCUCAAGGGUUGCAGAUGGAUUUUCCUUCCAAAGUUCUUCCAGUUUGUUAAUCUGCUGAGCUGUAAUCUGACGUGCUCUCAGCUGUUCCUGCUCAGAUGGAAUCUUUACCAGCC